CAAAUUCUGAGUUCCUGUCCCAUGACCAAGAGGAAUGAGGAACAUGGACACCGGAGAAUGAGUAAGGCAGAGUAGAAUUUUAUUCAUCAGCGAGAGGGGACCUGAAAGCAGGUCGCCAUCUGUGAGGAUUAAAGUUAGGACCAAAUGCUGCUCAGAAAUUGUUUUAAUCUCAAAAGUAGUUGGCAAGUUUUCAGAGUUCAUUUUCAAGGCCUGGUGUAUGUGAAACAACUGAACAUUCAGAGCUAUUUCAUUUUCAAAGAUUCUCACAUGUGAGUAUUCCUCUUUCUGAAUAUAAUCCCCUUUCUAUCUCUUUAAUUUUGUUCUUCCAUCAAAACUUCUCUUUCAACACAGGCUGAGAUUAAAGUUUAUUUCUUAUGGCUUCUGAGACAUCUCUCCCUAAGAGAGCAGAAAGGCCUAUUCAUGUUAAUAUGUCCAAAUCAAACCCACUACACAGAUGUACUCUCAAACCUACAUCUUUAUUUCCUAUCUCAGCUAAUGAGAUAACAAUCUCUCCCUCUCCCAAAGUAGAGACCUUGGAUCCAUCUUUAAUUAUUUCCUAACUCUAAUUAUUAAAUCCAAUCAUACACCAAAAAAUGAUGUUCUGAAUACUCUCUCUUUCAUUUGUGCACUCCUUCUUUGUCGUAUCUCUCCUGGACUAAAAUAAUAGUUUCUUGCAGGGUGUUGAAUAGUGUCCCCUAAAAAAUCAUGCCCACCUGGAACCUCAGAAUGUGACCUUAUUUGGAAAUCGGGUGUGCAGAUGAAAUUAGUUAGGGAUCUCAAAAUGAAGUCACUGUAUUAUUAUUGUAGAUGAUUAUGUACACUAAGUUCAAGGACUGACGUCCUUAUAAAAAGAGAGGGUACACACACAGCCAACAGAGAGAAGAAGGUCAUACGAAGACACGCAGAAUUUGGACUUAUGCGGUCACAAGUCAAGGAGUGCUUGGAGCUACCGGGAGAUGGAAGAGUCAAGGCAGGAUUUUCCCUGGAAGAUUUGGAAGGAACAUAUUUCUCCUGAAACCUUGAUUCUAGCCUUCACUAAUGACAGAGAAUAAAUUUCUGUUCUUUUAAGCCACUCAGUUUGUGGUACUUUGUCUUACAGAAACCCUGGGACACUAAUAAAUUUCCUAAGUGGUAUACAUAACAUCUUCUAACAUUAUGAUUCUAUGGAAUGCUUUGAUAAUCAGCUAAAAGUUAUCGGCUGUCUCCCAGGAAAGAUGCACAAACAUACAUAUUCAACAUUUUGUGUUCAAUUUUUCAAGUUUCCAGGAUUUCCAGGGCCUCUCUACAGAUC
rnacentral:lncRNA from 1 species